rnacentral:lncRNA from 1 species
GAGUAGCUGGGACUACACGUGUGUGCCACCAUGCCUGGAGAGUGCUAAACUCAGAAAGGCAAAACAAGGUUAGAAUGAAGCCCAUGCAAAGAAAAUAUGGACCUGAAGAAAAACAAGCUAUGGACUAUCUUCUGUCUCAUGCUAGCAGUGGAAUAGGAAAAGGACUCAAAAGACUUCUACUGGCCAUAAUGAAGUACCUGUUACUAUAUUUGCUUUCCUACCAUAAGCAACUAUAAAACUGGACAAUAUAUAGGCAACUGAUCUCAUGCAUUUCAAGCAGCACAGGAUUCUGAUAAUUAACAGAAGGAAAGCACAUGAGGAUAAUACUGGAGGCUGCCAUGGGAGAAGUCUGCACAAAAAGAGCAAGUUUAAGAGCUUCAGGAGUCAUAAAUGGCUUGAGAAGAUUAUGCUAGAGAUUGAAGCAGAUGGAAGAUUCUAGAAACAGAAAGCAUUCUUUUCAUUGGUUCCCGAAGGCAAAAAUGAAUUGUACUCUUCUUAUACAUGUUGCUGCUUUCAAGAUUUCCAUUUUACACCAUUGAUGGGCCUUAGUUUUUGGGUUGUCUACAAAGUCAAGUUUCUCUUAUUUGGAAAACCUGAAUAUAGCCUUGCAGUACAAAGCACUGGUCAUGCUGUCCACUUUCAGAAGAUGGCAUGGAAUUCACAGCAACAAGAAAUGUUUUGGAAUGCUGGCAAAGGAGCAGAAAACAGUGUUCUCCCCACACAUUUAGAAAAAUAAAGGUACGGAGGACAUGGCGUACUACUUAUUAAAGACUUUGAAAAACACCACACCUCAGUAAACAUUCCUCAAGAACUGAGGAAACACUCUGGGCAAUGGCUUACCUCAGUUCCCUCAAUUCUGGUUUUAGUGAAUGGGACAAUAGUACAGACACAAUGCCAGCUGUGGAAGCAAGAGAGCCAAGGACACACAGGCUCACUCUGUAAACAAGCCUAGCGUCCUGCUUCAGGCACUUUGUGUUGUUUUGUCAACACAAAGAGAGGCGUUUGGGAUUUGCGGAAGACUCUGCUAUCUCAACAAGUCUUGGUGCUUUCUUCUGUCCCUGAAUUAAACACUUAUUUACUUCCUCUUUAUUGACCAUUGGAGCGCCUGAUUGGGCUUUCUGUUUAUCUCCCCAUAAGCUGAUAUAAGCUCAGCUGCCCCUGACACUAGUUUCUUUUCCUCUCUCUUUUUAGUUGAAGAUGCUAAUAUUAUCACCUUCAGUGACAGUAACAAAAUAAAAUCAAUUAUUCAGC